rfam:Beta vulgaris subsp. vulgaris chromosome 5, whole genome shotgun sequence.
CAGAGCCGUAUGAUGGGAAACUAUCUCCUGCGGUUCGGAGAGGGGAGUCCUUCCUCGGGAGAUCGAAGAAGGUAUAGCUCAGUAAGACAAGACGGCAUUGGUUGCCGCGGAACUCUUUGGCUGACCUAUGAU